GACGAACGCUGGCGGCGUGCUUAACACAUGCAAGUCGAGCGGUAAGGCCCUUUUGGGGGUACACGAGCGGCGAACGGGUGAGUAACACGUGAGUAAUCUGCCCUUCACUUUGGGAUAAGCACCGGAAACGGUGUCUAAUACCGGAUAUGAGCGCCCUGCGCACGUGGGGUGUUGGAAAGUUUUUUCGGUGGGGGAUGUGCUCGCGGCCUAUCAGCUUGUUGGUGGGGUAAUGGCCUACCAAGGCUUCGACGGGUAGCCGGCCUGAGAGGGUGACCGGUCACACUGGGACUGAGACACGGCCCAGACUCCUACGGGAGGCAGCAGUGGGGAAUAUUGGACAAUGGGCGGAAGCCUGAUCCAGCAACGCCGCGUGAGGGAUGACGGCCUUCGGGUUGUAAACCUCUUUCAGUACUGACGAAGCUCUUUUGGGGUGACGGUAGGUACAGAAGAAGCACCGGCCAACUACGUGCCAGCCGCCGCAGUAA
rnacentral:rRNA from 1 species